GAUGAAGAACGUAGCGAAAUGCGAUAAGUAAUGUGAAUUGCAGAAUUCAGUGAAUCAUCGAAUCUUUGAACGCACAUUGCGCCCGCCAGUAUUCUGGCGGGCAUGCCUGUCCGAGCGUCAUUUCAACCACCAAGCCCCGGGCUUGUGUUGGGGACCUGCGUCCGACGCAGGCCCUGAAAACCAGUGGCGGGCUCGCUGUCCACACCGAGCGUAGUAACUAACCUCGCUAUGGAGUGGCGCGGGCGCCUGCCGUAAAACCCCCAAUUUCACAAGGUUGACCUCGGAUCAGGUAGGAAUACCCGCUGAACUUAAGCAUAUCAAUAAGCGGAGGA
rnacentral:misc_RNA from 1 species